GACGAACGCUGGCGGCGUGCUUAACACAUGCAAGUCGAACGGAAAGGCCCUGCUUUUGUGCGGUGAUCGAGUGGCGAACGGGUAAGUAUCACGUGAGUAACCUUCCCUUGACUUUGGGAUAACUUCAGGAAACUGGGGCUAAUCCCGGAUAGGAACUCCUGCUGCAGGGUGGGGGUUGGAAAGUUUCGGCGGUUGGGGAUGGACUGGCGGCUUAUCAGCUUGUUGGUGGGGUAGUGGCUUACCAAGGCUUUGACGGGUAGCCGGCCUGAGAGGGUGACCGGCCACAUGGGGACUGAGAGACGGCCCAGACUCCUACGGGAGGCAGCAGGGGGGAAUAUUGCACAAUGGGCGGAAGCCUGAUGCAGCAACGCCGCGUGCGGGAUGACGGCCUUCGGGUUGUAAACCGCUUUCGCCUGUGACGAAGCGUGAGUGACGGUAAUGGGUAAAGAAGCACCGGCUAACUACGUG
rnacentral:rRNA from 1 species